CUUUUUGCCUUUUCUAGGGCCGAUCCCGCAGCACAUGGAGGUUCCCAAGCUAGGGGUCUGAUUGGAGCUGUAGCUGGCAGCCUACGCCAGAGCCACAGCAACGGGGGAUCCGAGCCGUGCCUGCAAUCUACACCACAGCUCAGGGCAAUGCCAGAUCCUUAACCCACUAAACAAGGCCAGGGAUCAAACCCACAACCUUAUGGUUCCUAGUCGGAUUCAUUAACCACUGCGCCAUGACGGGAACUAGAUAGUACCCUUCUAAUUGUAAUAAUUCUCAUGCAGGUUCCCCCCCCACACACACACACCUCAACAUCCAGCAUAAUCUUCUCCAUUACUCAAGGGGCGUGGGGCUUGGAAAUGGCUGGUGGGUACCUGGCAUCUGGGGAGAUGAACAGCAGGAGAAGUGAGUUGUCAGGUAGAUGUGAAAGUGGAAGUUUGAGCCACUACGGGAUCUUAGAGUCCACGAUUGGUUUUGCUGGGUUUGUGACUUCAUGAUUAGACUUUGCAGCUAGGGGAGGAGACCAGACCCUCUGCAUGUAGCCUGAGCACCUAGAUGGCGCUGCCUCCUCUCCCUUAAGAACCAAGCCCUUGGGUAUCUGUUCUGCCCAGAUGUCUCUUUACGGAAUAUUUGGAAUUGUAAGGCCCAGGUCUUUCAAUAGGUUCCUGAUGCCAUAAUUUAUAGAUUUCAUUGCCCCAAAGAUGACUGUUUGCAAAGCAGCUCUGAGCCUUUACAGAUCCUGAAGAAACUCUUUCAUCUGAGCAUGGUUCCCCUGAAGGAUACUGUGGGUAGUCAGAAUAGACCAAAGUUUGGAAGGUCUGGCAUUGAUUUCGGUCUCCUUGCCCUUUUCCAGAAUUCUCUCCUGAAAGAGUCAGUCCUCUGAAAACCCAGAAUCUCUCUUCAGUCCACAUGCAGAUUGAGCUCCAGGCUGUUCCCCCUACUCUGCAAGUGGGAGUGAAAAGCAACUAUAAUCCCUAUCUUCUUUGCCAGUGCCCUCUCAGACAAGCCUAUUAUAGAUUUCUAGAACAUUUCUGCAUUCCUGUGGAAUUCAUUCCAUCAUUUCGGAAUAAUACAGAGAUACCAUUUGGUCAUUUAAAUCUGUCUCCCCCCUCCAGGCACAGAUAGAGAUCUGCCCAUCACUGCUGGUAAAACCUGACUUAAAAAGAGGUUAGCUGGUGAAUUAAUGGCAAGAAUGCAUGGAGUCACAUGCUUUCAAACCAAUUAGCAAUACAGAUGAGCUAGCAAGUCAAGUUCCAUUUAUAGGGUGGGGGAGGGGAGAAGUCAAAUAAUCUGUGUUUUUAAGUGUUUCUGAGAAAUGAAGACCUCCAGGGCAGAGAGAAGGCGGAUCAGGAAAUAGCUAUGCAAAUCGCAUGCCUGUGAAAUUACUAAAACUUUGAUCAGAGGCAUUAACAAUGGCUCCAGUACUCACAAGUAUGAAAUAAGGAGUGAGUAAGGCAGGGCAUGUUUGGAAGGGAUUUCAAAAGUGUUUACUUCCAUGGUUUGUUGAGCAGUCAAUGAAGUCCACGGCUAUUUUAGACUGAAGUUGCCCGAGCAGUCCAGGUAUGACAAAUGUAGUAAUACAUUCCAUUCUCAUUAGUGACUCUUGGGGAUCUCAGUGACACAGAGUCAAAAUGACUGGACCUCAUAUAAAGCCUGCCUUUUUUUUUUUUUUCCACCCUCUUUCUAAGGACACUACUGCUCACCCUUCCACCAGCUGUAGGAGAAGGCCUGGAUUCUGAGAGAGGGUAGUUCCCUGGAAAUGCUAAAUUGCUAUUAGUAUUCAGUGGGAUUCAGGCAACAUUAAGGUAUGACUUGGGCUAAAGCAAACAGGGAAACUCCAAGCGGCCAUGAUGUCGCAGCUGGCAAGUGUGACACUUCACACCCCUGGGUCCCUGUUCAGGGCUGUCUGGUCUUGAGGGUAUUUGAGGCUCUCAUCUCAGUUCCCAACUCUGGACUCAUUUUUUUUUUUUUUUUUUUUUUUUUUUAAACGGCAUAUGGAAGUUCCCAGGCUAGGGGUCAAAUAGGAGCUGUGGUUGCUGGCCUAUACCACAGCCACAGCAGCUCAGGAUCCAAGCCAUAUCUGCAACCACAGCUCAUGGCAAUGCCGGAUCCUUAAUCCACUGAGUGAGGCCAGGGAAUCAAACCCAUGUCCUCAUGGAUACUAGUCAGGCUCCUUACUGCUGAGCCACAACGGGAACUCCCUGCUUGUCCAUCCUAAAUGGAAUGUUUGCAUCUAACCCCCAACUCCCAGUCCAUCCCACUCCCUUCCCUCACCCCCUUGGCAACCACCAGUCUGUUCUUUAUGUCUGUGUAGACUCAUAUUUUUAAUGCCUUUAUUUGAGAAAAAAAUAUUACACUUAAAAAGGAAACUGUCAGAAUAAUUUUUUUAAAAAUGGUAAUACUCUUGUAUCCUUUUUUUUUUUCUCCCUAACCGUGCCUAUUGCUUUAAAUUCAUCAUUUAAGUUAGAAAGUUCCCCCAAGAUAGAGUUGUGCUUCUUAGUGGUCCAGUGUGUUCAUAUCUCAGAAGCAACAGUUGCUUCUCAAACAUUUCUAUUGGGUGUGGAAAAUUAUUUAUAGGAGAACAGAAUAAAAGUAAACUUUUUAUGAUGUUCUUAAAGGUAUAUAUAAUUAAUGCUUUGUGAAUUCAUGGGCAGAUUCAAGCAGUUAUCAGAUUCUGAGUACCAGGAGCUGCAGUUUUCUGGCCCCACUCUGUUCGGUGUGGAGUAUAUGGAAUAUAACUGUGGAUUGGAAUUAAAAUUUUCAGGGAAUCAUUUAUAAAUUUAAAAGAAAAAAUGUUGGCUUUAAGUUAAAGCCACAAUGAGAGCUGAGAGCUUCUGUUUUUCUUUUCCUUUUUCCCCAAGUAUUUGAAAACUGAAAUUCUGUAAGAGAUUAUCUGUGAAAAUGCCUUUCUUUUAUUACACCCAUAAAUUUCAGGAGUGGCUUUGAUCAAGCCUUCUGCCAUUCUCGGUUUCUAAAUCUUUUACUCAUACGUUAAUAACUUUAAAAACACUCAUCCUAUUUUUGUUGUAGUGAAAGAGGAAGGUAGGGCUUUUUUUUUUUUUUUUUCCUUCCCCAGAAAGAGCAAUGCUCCAUGUUGAAACUUGCCAGAGUAUUUUAAGAUUAUUGUCCAUAAAGAAAAUGUACCAAAGAAUUGAGAUGUUCAAAGGAAAGGCAUUAAGGAAAUGCAAGGUAUUAUUGGUAAUGCGCACUAUACAUAGAACAAGAUUUGAAGGCCUUUAAUACUUCAGUCGGUGGAGUUGGGUUUUCUGUCUUGUAUUUAGUGUUUAAAACACACAUGCGCAACCUGCAAACCAAAUGAGUUAACCCUCUGCUGGCUUCCUCUAGACAUUGACCCUGGGGGGCAAACUCUUAGGAAAACGAUGCCUGGUUUUCCAUUCCCCUAAUUCCAGUCUCUACCAACAAGCAAGUCCUAUCUCUGAGUGGAGCUCACAAAGAAUUUCUCAAAUACGUAGCUGGGUUGGGUUGGCAACAAAAUCCUUUGCAAAACGAGAAGAAAGAGUUGUUAACUGAUGAGUCAAUCUAGCUUUUAUAGCAGUUUAUCUUCAUGGUAUUUCUAAGAGCAUAAAUGUUAAAAAAAAAAAAAAUGACGGUCAUGACAGGAAGAACACAGUAGAAAAAAACAGGAACAUUUAAGCCAAAAGCAAUUUACUUUGCCAGUAACUGGUUACAUUUCCUUUGUUUUAUUAUUAUUAUUGCAAGAGUUGGGGUUGAGAUGAAAGUUUCCCACACCUGCGCGGCCCUGACGCAUAACUUGUCAGAACCCACAGUGAAGUAAAUACAUAAAUGAAUGCCUGCAACCCUGAGCUUCUAGACUCUUUAAGAGAGAAAAUCAAAAGCCUGUUUUGCUAUACUGUCUUUUAAAAACAAGACUAUAACCUGUUAAUAUUUAAAGGAGGUUUUCAAAAAGGGAAUAAAACAGGAGUUCCUGCUGUGGCACAGUGAGUUAAGACUCUGACUGCAGCAGGGGUCGCUGCAGAGGCAUGGGAUUGAUCUCUGGCCUGG
rnacentral:lncRNA from 1 species